UGGGGAAUAUUGGACAAUGGGCGCAAGCCUGAUCCAGCCAUGCCGCGUGUGUGAAGAAGGCCUUCGGGUUGUAAAGCACUUUUGUCCGGAAAGAAAAGCUUCGGGUUAAUACCCCGGGGUUCUGACGGUACCGGAAGAAUAAGCACCGGCUAACUUCGUGCCAGCAGCCGCGGUAAUACGAAGGGUGCAAGCGUUACUCGGAAUUACUGGGCGUAAAGCGUGCGUAGGUGGUUUGUUAAGUCUGAUGUGAAAGCCCUGGGCUCAACCUGGGAAUUGCAUUGGAUACUGGCAGGCUAGAGUGCGGUAGAGGAUGGCGGAAUUCCCGGUGUAGCAGUGAAAUGCGUAGAGAUCGGGAGGAACAUCUGUGGCGAAGGCGGCCAUCUGGACCAGCACUGACACUGAGGCAUGAAAGCGUGGGGAGCAAACAGGAUUAGAUACCCAUGUAGUCCCUGAGCGGGCUGGCAAGGCGCAU
rnacentral:rRNA from 1 species